rnacentral:lncRNA from 1 species
GUGCUUGUUUGUGGUUCAUUAUUAAUCUCAUUAAUUUCCAUCUCUUUGCUUAUAGUUCCUUUGAGAACAAAUUGUUCCUCUAGAAACAUAGCAGUUCUGGCGACAAAGACUUUCUGGUCGUCAGGAUGGUAGAACUCAUAUCCCAUAGUUUACAAUAAACUUAGUUUUCAAAUUUACAGCACAUGUCAAUCAUCUCGUUUAAAGAAUGAUCGAAUCUAUUCACUUUAU